CGCCAGAAAACUACGAGCAAAACGCUUAAAACUCCAAGGACUUGGCGGUACUUCAAAUCCCCCUAGAGGAGCCUGUUCUAUAAUCGAUAAUCCACGCUAAACCUCACCAUCUUUUGCCAACCCAGCCUAUAUACCACCGUCACAGCUUACCUUGUGAAAGAAAAAAAGUAAGCUAAACAGUUAAAACAACUAGAAAGUCAGGUCAAGGUGUAGCCAAUUAAGAUGGAAGAAAUGGGCUACAUUUUCUAAAAUAGAAAUAACCACGAAACAGAACCAUGAAACACGGUCUAAACAAGAAGGAUUUAGUAGUAAACUGAGAACAGAGGGC
rnacentral:rRNA from 1 species